rnacentral:rRNA from 1 species
GCAUAACGCGAAGAACCUUACCUACUCUUGACAUCCAGAGAACUUUCCAGAGAUGGAUUGGUGCCUUCGGGAACUCUGAGACAGGUGCUGCAUGGCUGUCGUCAGCUCGUGUUGUGAAAUGUUGGGUUAAGUCCCGCAACGAGCGCAACCCUUAUCCUUUGUUGCCAGCGGUUCGGCCGGGAACUCAAAGGAGACUGCCAGUGAUAAACUGGAGGAAGGUGGGGAUGACGUCAAGUCAUCAUGGCCCUUACGAGUAGGGCUACACACGUGCUACAAUGGCGUAUACAAAGAGAAGCGACCUCGCGAGAGCAAGCGGACCUCAUAAAGUACGUCGUAGUCCGGAUUGGAGUCUGCAACUCGACUCCAUGAAGUCGGAAUCGCUAGUAAUCGUAGAUCAGAAUGCUACGGUGAAUACGUUCCCGGGUCUUGUACACACCG